rnacentral:rRNA from 1 species
GAUGAACGCUGGCGGCGUGCCUAAUACAUGCAAGUCGAGCGAACAGACGAGGAGCUUGCUCCUCUGACGUUAGCGGCGGACGGGUGAGUAACACGUGGAUAACCUACCUAUAAGACUGGGAUAACUUCGGGAAACCGGAGCUAAUACCGGAUCAUAUAUUGCACCACAUGGUUCAAUAGUGAAAGACGGUUUUGCUGUUACUUAUAGAUGGCUCCGCGCCGCAUUAGCUAGUUGGUAAGGGAACGGCUUACCAAGGCAACGAUGCGUAGCCGACCUGCGAGGAGGAUCGCCCACACCGGAACGGAGACACGCUCCAGACUCCUAAGAGAGGCAGCAGUAGGGAAUCUUACGCAAUGCGCGAAAGCUUGACGGAGCAUCGCCGCGUGAGAGAGGAAGGUCUUCGGAUCGUAAAACUCUGUUAUUAGGGAGGAACAAAUGUGUAAGUAACGAUGCACGUCUUGACGGUACCUAAUCAGAAAGCCACGGCUAACUACGUG